ACCUUAAGUCCGUCGCAAACUUUUACAAUGUGUUGAACACUCGCUUCGAGCUCCAGCACGACUCUUCCAGCUUUCCAGUACUGCUGUGAUCGCCAUCUAUCACUCCUUCUUUAUUUAGAUCCUGCCUUCGACGACCGCACCAAGAAAAAUGAAGACAACAACCGUUUGGUGUUUGGUAAUUGCUAUCUCAGUGUUAGCCGUUACCGUGUCCUCGAAAAGUAACUCCAAUGGUGUUUUGCCAAGAGUGUUGGAGAAAAGAGCUUCAG